rnacentral:lncRNA from 10 species
CUUUCUGUCUUGUACUCAUGGAGGUUAUGAAAAUGAUCACAAAAAAAUGUGAAGCUCAUUUCAAAUAAAAUGCUAUGUCUGGGCCAGGCACAGUGGCUCACACCUGUAAUCCCAACACUUUGGGAGGCUGAGGGGGGCAUAUCACGAGGUCAGGAGAUUGAGACCAUCCUGGCUAACACGGUGAAACCCCAUCUCUACUAAAAAUAUAAAAAAUUAGCUGGGCGUGGUGGCAGGCGCCUGUAGUCCCAGCUACUCGGGAGGCUGAGGCAGGAGAAUGGCAUGAACCCGGGAGGUGGAGCUUGCAGUGAGCCAAGAUCAUGCCACUGCACUCCAGCCUGGGUGACAGAGUGAGACUCAGUCUCAAAAUAAAAUAAAAAUAAAUAAAUAUAUGCCAUGUCUGAAUGGAGGAGGUCAGUGAUUCUUCAAGGAGAGAUUUGCAUUUGGCUGGACAGCACAUUCUAGCCACCAAUGAAUCAACAGCUUGUACAUGGUUUGUAAAGGACAGCACUCGUGGUCCCCAGGUUCGGAAUGGACACUUCUGCAGGCUUCAUCACACUCACCAUCAUUACUCAAGAUCCUACACUUCUUUCCCUUCAAAGACAUCAAAGUAGCUUGAAAAGAAACACUGCCUAUCUGGAAAAUGAGGCCUACAUGUUUGUUGGAGUUUGAAAUGAGUCAUCAUCAUCUAUCAACAUUGAAAAUUAGACUAUGUUGUUGCAUUAUUGAACCUGACAGUACAAUAAAAGUGAAAAAAAAGAAGCAAGUUAUUUGCAUCACUGGAGUAUGGUUAAUGUAGUCAACACAUGCUUUUUCAACAUUUGCAUCAAGUCAAUGCUUUCGGGCUUCCGAUUCUGAUAAGGAUGGGUUUUAUUUAUCAAAAACCUACUAUGUGCCAGAUACUCUAUGUGACACUUGGUAUACUUUGCCUUACAAAACCAUUGCAUCCUUCCUUUAGGAUUGACAUAUUAUCUUCACCUUAUAGAUGAAAAAAACUGAAGCUUGAGGAUGCUAAGUGCCUGGCCCUGGUUGGGCCACUAGUUGAUGACAAAGCAGGUGGAUUUGACUCCAUAGUCUGGUCUUUCCUAUGAUGUUCCCCCUUGAUAAGGAAAGGAAUGCUGAAACAAAAAAUCUGUGGAAUGGUCAAGAUAUUAACCACCAGCCAGGGAGUGAUGUGGGAGU